rnacentral:lncRNA from 1 species
AAAAUUUGGAAAAUCUUUAUGUAGUCGGAAUUUGAUAUGUGAAAAUAUUAUGGUCAUAUUUAACUUUUUUUUACUUCCAAUUGUACCCAAUGGACUCCUAGCUUUCUCGAAUCAUCAUUCUAUCGUCCGUCUCAUCUUUAGAUUAUUUGUAACUUGAUCCUUGAACUUUCACUUUCUUUCACUUUAGUCAUUUUCACUCUUUUGUUAUAAAUUCCACCAUAUCUAUCCAUUUGCAACCCAAAUCAAAAUAUAAGGGCAUUUAGUGCAUUUAGGCAUCAAUAUAUCAUGCAAAUACAAGUAUAAAUGGAUGAAAACGUGACAAAUU